CCCUUAGAUGUUCUGGGCCGCACGCGCGCUACACUGAUGCAUUCAACGAGUCUAAAACCUGCUCUGAUAGGGGUGGGUAAUCUUUUGAAUGUGCAUCGUGAUUGGGAUAGAUGAUUGCAAUUUUUCAUCUUCAACGAGGAAUGCCUAGUAAACGCAAGUCAUCAGCUUGCAUUGAUUACGUCCCUGCCCUUUGUACACACCGCCCGUCGCUCCUACCGGUUGAAUGAUCCGAUGAAUAUCAUGGAUUGAGGAUGCAAGCAGGUUCGCCUGUCUUCAUCUUCGAGAAGUGAAGUAAAUCUUAUCAUUUAGAGGAAGGAGAAGUCGUAACA
rnacentral:rRNA from 1 species